UACAGAGGGUGCGAGCGUUGUCCGGAAUCACUGGGCGUAAAGGGCGCGUAGGCGGCUUUUCAAGCGUGCGGUGAAAGCUCGGGGCUUAACUCCGAGUCUGCCGUGCGAACUGGGAGGCUUGAGUCUGGUAGAGGUCGAUGGAAUUCCGGGUGUAGCGGUGGAAUGCGUAGAGAUCCGGAAGAACACCGGUGGCGAAGCGGUCGACCUGG
rnacentral:rRNA from 1 species